rnacentral:lncRNA from 1 species
AAAUUAACCAAAUUAUAAAAUUGGUACGUUUCAAAUCAGAUGGCUGUGCUGCAGAUCUUCAACUUUAAGAUUUAGGAUUUGUAAUUGAUGCCACUUUGUGUCAGAAUUGUGCUUUGUUGGUUGAGAUGGAAGAAGGGUGGAAAGGGUGAGCAUGGUCUUAGUGUUGGUGGUUGAGUUUUCAUGACUUAAACUAAGUGAAAAUUAUUUUCCAAGACAGAUGAUAGAUGCAGAUGCAGAGUUUAGUUAUAACAUGUUUUGUUUUUCAAGGAAUUCAGGAUCUUUUGGUUCUUAGUCUUAAAACUCAUGACAAAGCUGUUCGGAAAGAUUUUGCCUCUGCCGUCUUCUUCUACCUGGCCCAUGAUGAUGUAAUUCAAACCUACAAAAGAGAGUAUAAUAUUACAGACCAGACCUUCAAGACAUGGUUGGGGGUUUGGUCCAUUGUGGUUUUUCUGGUAAACUAUGGUGAGCAUU